UACGAAGGGGGCUAGCGUUGCUCGGAAUCACUGGGCGUAAAGCGCACGUAGGCGGGUUGUUAAGUCGGGGGUGAAAUCCUGGAGCUCAACUCCAGAACUGCCUUCGAUACUGGCGACCUUGAGUCCGGGAGAGGUGAGUGGAACUCCGAGUGUAGAGGUGAAAUUCGUAGAUAUUCGGAGGAACACCAGUGGCGAAGGCGGCUCGCUGGCUCAUUUCUGACGCUGAGGUGCGAAAGCGUGGGGAGCAAUCAGG
rnacentral:rRNA from 1 species